rnacentral:rRNA from 1 species
AUUCGAUUGCUUAACACAUGCAAGUCGAGCGGCAGCGGAAGGAAGCUUGCUUCCUUGCCGGCGAGCGGCGGACGGGUGAGUAAGGUAUGGGGAUCUGGCCGAAGGCGGGGGAUAACCACUGGAAACGGUGGCUAAUACCGCAUAAUCUCUAAGGAGCAAAGUGGGGGACCGUUCUGGCCUCACACCUUCGGAUGAACCCAUAUGAGAUUAGCUAGUAGGUGGGGUAAUGGCUCACCUAGGCGACGAUCUCUAGCUGGUCUGAGAGGAUGAACAGCCACACUGGGACUGAGACACGGCCCAGACUCCUACGGGAGGCAGCAGUGGGGAAUAUUGCACAAUGGGCGCAAGCCUGAUGCAGCCAUGCCGCGUGUAUGAAGAAGGCCUUCGGGUUGUAAAGUACUUUCAGUCGUGAGGAAGGUGUUAAGGUUAAUAACCUUAGCAAUUGACGUUAGCGACAGAAGAAGCACCGGCUAACUCCGUGCCAGCAGCCGCGGUAAUACGGAGGGUGCGAGCGUUAAUCGGAAUUACUGGGCGUAAAGGGCACGCAGGCGGUUAAUUAAGUUGGAUGUGAAAUCCCCGGGCUUAACCUGGGAAUGGCAUUCAAGACUGGUUAGCUAGAGUCUUGUAGAGGGGGGUAGAAUUCCAUGUGUAGCGGUGAAAUGCGUAGAGAUGUGGAGGAAUACCGGUGGCGAAGGCGGCCCCCUGGACAAAGACUGACGCUCAUGUGCGAAAGCGUGGGGAGCAAACAGGAUUAGAUACCCUGGUAGUCCACGCUGUAAACGAUGUCGAUUUGGAGGUUGUGGUCAUGAANCUGUGGCCUCCGGAGCUAACGCGUUAAAUCGACCGCCUGGGGAGUACGGCCGCAAGGUUAAAACUCAAAUGAAUUGACGGGGGCCCGCACAAGCGGUGGAGCAUGUGGUUUAAUUCGAUGCAACGCGAAGAACCUUACCUACUCNUUGACAUCCAGCGAAUCCUUUAGAGAUAGAGGAGUGCCNNUUCGGGAGCGCUGAGNACAGGUGCUGCAUGGCUGUCGUCAGCUCGUGUUGUGAAAUGUUGGGUUAAGUCCCGCAACGAGCGCAACCCUUAUCCUUUGUUGCCAKCGAUUCGGKCGGGRRMYYWUAAGGAGACUGCYRGUGAUAAACUGGAGGAAGGUGGGGAUGAUGUCAAGUCAUCAUGGCCCUUAUGGAGUGGGCUACACACGUGCUACAAUGG